GCCACACUAUCAUCUCGUGUUUGUUGGAGGGUAGGCAAGAUUAGCUCUUUAGAAAAGUAGACCUCCUAAGAUUACCAGCUACUUUUUUAGAAAUAGAUAAUUAAUUAAAAAAAUCAUUCAUCUCUAAUUCUAGUGAAUAUGUGGAAGGAAAUAAAUUACUGGCAUUGUACAAGUGGCAGUCUUGCUGGUCCUGACAAACUUGCAUCCAGUGUUCUUUCUGUUCCUGUACGAGCAUUUGUGGGACCCACCUGGCACAACCUUCCAACUGAGUGUAUUCUAUGAUUUUAUAUUUGAAAAGACCAUUCAAGAACCUCGUGGACCAUCUUCUUUUUUCAUUCAUGUUCUCACUGGAUUGAUCUAGAUACAGGAGCUGUUGUGGAGAGGGUGACACAAAAGUGAGAGUGCACUACCUGCAGGCAGUUAGCAGAGAGCUGUGAAAAAAAGCAGGGAAAGAGUGUGGGGAUAUGAAAAGGAAAAUUCUCCAGUCCAUCUAAGAAAAGGAUAAAUAGUUACAUCUGAAUCAGACCGUUCUGGCUCCCUUUAGAGGAAGAAUGGAGAAAGAAAUACAAUUAAUCUUAUUUGAUGAUAAAAACGUGAAAAGAUCAGGUGAAUAGUAACGUAUACAUAUAUGUUUUUAAAAAGGCUUCUUUCUCCCCAGCUUCCUGUAUAAAUAAUGGUUAGAAUGGUUUGCAUACAGACUUUUACACUUUGGACAUAUGCAGUUCAGUUAAUAAAUUCUUCUGUGACAUUUUUGGGAUUUCUCAGAGUCAAUCUCAUCCAUGUUCUGGGCCCCUUCCUGCCUGAUAGCUGACAUCCCCCUGCUGUGUUUUCAGCUGCAACGUCAGGGUACUGAGCCUAGCUGGCCAGAAGGGCUUGGAGGCAGGAUACUGCUUUCCACUGAGCACAUCUCUAUGAAAAACUGCCCAGCUGACCUCAGUAGAUGUGGAGUAGAGUUGGAGUAAAAUUUAUACUCUCUAAAUCUGCUACUGAUGAUUGCAAGAUCUUUUUUUUAAGAAGAGUCCAAGCUCCAGCUGGUUAACAGGUGAUUAGGUUUUGUGUUUUGCAUAUUUUCAAUAUGCACUGUCAUUCUGAUCCCAGCAUG
rnacentral:lncRNA from 1 species